GACAGAGGGUGCAAACGUUGCUCGGAAUCACUGGGCGUAAAGGGCGCGUAGGCGGCCUGCUAAGUCGAACGUGAAAUCCCUGGGCUCAACCCAGGAACUGCGUCCGAUACUGGUUGGCUUGAAUCCGGGAGAGGGAUGUGGAAUUCCAGGUGUAGCGGUGAAAUGCGUAGAUAUCUGGAGGAACACCGGUGGCGAAGGCGACAUCCUGGACCGGUAUUGACGCUGAGGCGCGAAAGCCAGGGGAGCAAACGGG
rnacentral:rRNA from 1 species